rnacentral:rRNA from 1 species
CAGCAGCCGCGGUAAUACGAAGGGUGCAAGCGUUACUCGGAAUUACUGGGCGUAAAGCGUGCGUAGGUGGUGGUUUAAGUCCGUUGUGAAAGCCCUGGGCUCAACCUGGGAAUUGCAGUGGAUACUGGGUCACUAGAGUGUGGUAGAGGAUUGUGGAAUUUCCGGUGUAGCAGUGAAAUGCGUAGAGAUCGGAAGGAACAUCUGUGGCGAAGGCGACUAUCUGGGCCAACACUGACACUGAGGCACGAAAGCGUGGGGAGCAAACAGGAUUAGAUACCCCAGUAGUCCCUGUCUCUUAUAC